rnacentral:rRNA from 1 species
AGGGGUCCGCCCCUUGCGAGAGUAGGUAGUGCCCGGG